rnacentral:rRNA from 1 species
GAUGAACGCUGGCGGCGUGCCUAAUACAUGCAAGUCGAGCGAACGGACGAGAAGCUUGCUUCUCUGAUGUUAGCGGCGGACGGGUGAGUAACACGUGGAUAACCUACCUAUAAGACUGGGAUAACUUCGGGAAACCGGAGCUAAUACCGGAUGAUAUUUUGAACCGCAUGGUUCAAAAGUGAAAGACGGUCUUGCUGUCACUUAUAGAUGGAUCCGCGCUGCAUUAGCUAGUUGGUAAGGUAACGGCUUACCAAGGCAACGAUGCAUAGCCGACCUGAGAGGGUGAUCAGCCACACUGGAACUGAGACACGGUCCAGACUCCUACGGGAGGCAGCAGUAGGGAAUCUUCCGCAAUGGGCGAAAGCCUGACGGAGCAACGCCGCGUGAGUGAUGAAGGUCUUCGGAUCGUAAAACUCUGUUAUUAGGGAAGAACAUAUGUGUAAGUAACUGUGCACAUCUUGACGGUACCGUAUCAGAAAGCCACGGCUAACUACGUG